UCCGCAAUGGGCGAAAGCCUGACGGAGCAACGCCGCGUGAGUGAUGAAGGUCUUCGGAUCGUAAAGCUCUGUUAUUAGGGAAGAACAAAUGUGUAAGUAACUGUGCACGUCUUGACGGUACCUAAUCAGAAAGCCACGGCUAACUACG
rnacentral:rRNA from 1 species